rnacentral:tRNA from 1 species
GGGCAGUGAGUGGAAGCGGUUGGCUUGAAUAGGGGAUAUUCGGUAACGGGUAUCGAGGGUUCGAAUCCCUCCCUGUCCGCCA